rnacentral:lncRNA from 1 species
AUGAUUAUUAAUCAAAUCCAUGUUUACUCGACCUCCAUAUUUUGAGGGUAAAAGUGAAGAUGACUUCUUUGACAGGACUUAAAGCAAGUUGAAGUUUGCACCAGAUAAGGGGAAGCAUUUAGAUGGUAGGCUGGAAAUCCUUCCCACAAACUUGAUAUAAUGGCUCAGUGUGGCUAACAUUAAGUGCUGCUGACCCUUCAGGCUCUACAUAAUCUUGAUGUCUUAUAAGUGAGUCGUUACCGUAUUAUGAAUGUAUCUGGGUGACUCUGGCAUGCUCUCUUUGGAUUUUGUGUUGCACAUGAGAUCUGUGUGCUUCUGGGUUUUAACAGAGAUUUAAUUGGGAACCAGACUGAUUGUUGUGCUUCUGCGUUUUAUCUGAGAUUUGCGAUGGGCGCCAGUAUGUUCCAGUGAUUGUGCUUGCCGGAUUUUUGAUAAUUGUUGCUCGGAUCUAAAAUUGUGAAGGAGGAGUGCUUUUAGAUAGAAUACUUUCAAG